rnacentral:rRNA from 1 species
CUGGCCGUGACAGAUGGAUAACCGGGAGAAAUCCCGCCUAAUACAACAUAAUGCCGGGAGGGGACAUCCCCUGCCGGCCAAAGGGGGCGACCCCGGUCACGGAUGGGCAUGCGGCGCAUUAGGUAGUUGGUGGGGCAACGGCCCACCAAGCCGACGAUGCGUAGGGGUUCUGAGAGGAAGGUCCCCCACAUUGGAACUGAGACACGGUCCAAACUCCUACGGGAGGCAGCAGUGAGGAAUAUUGGUCAAUGGCCGGAAGGCUGAACCAGCCAAGUCGCGUGAGGGAAUAAGGCCCUACGGGUCGUAAACCUCUUUUGCCAGGGAGCAAUGCCGUCCACGUGUGGACGGAAGGAGAGUACCUGGAGAAAAAGCAUCGGCUAACUCCGUGCCAGCAGCCGCGGUAAUACGGAGGAUGCGAGCGUUAUCCGGAUUUAUUGGGUUUAAAGGGUGCGUAGGCGGCCUGCCAAGUCAGCGGUAAAAUUGCGGGGCUCAACCCCGUACAGCCGUUGAAACUGCCGGGCUCGAGUGGGCGAGAAGUAUGCGGAAUGCGUGGUGUAGCGGUGAAAUGCAUAGAUAUCACGCAGAACCCCGAUUGCGAAGGCAGCAUACCGGCGCCCGACUGACGCUGAGGCACGAAAGUGCGGGGAUCAAACAGGAUUAGAUACCCUGGUAGUCCGCACAGUAAACGAUGA